AACGAACGCUGGCGGCAGGCCUAACACAUGCAAGUCGAGCGGAGCCUUCGGGCUUAGCGGCGGACGGGUGAGUAACGCGUGGGAACGUGCCCUUUGGUACGGAAUAGCCCCGGGAAACUGGGAGUAAUACCGUAUGUGGUCGAGAGACGAAAGAUUUAUCGCCAAAGGAUCGGCCCGCGUUGGAUUAGGUAGUUGGUGGGGUAAUGGCCUACCAAGCCGACGAUCCAUAGCUGGUUUGGGAGGAUGAUCAGCCACACUGGGACUGAGACACGGCCCGGAAUGCUACGGGAGGCAGCAGUGGGGAAUCUUAGACAAUGGGGGAAACCCUGAUCUAGCCAUGCCGCGUGAUCGAUGAAGGCCUUAGGGUUGUAAAGAUCUUUCAGUGGGGAAGAUAAUGACUGUACCCACAGAAGAAGCCCCGGCUAACUCCGUGCCAGCCGCCGCCGUAA
rnacentral:rRNA from 1 species